rnacentral:rRNA from 1 species
GUAGGUGGCAAGCGUUGUCCGGGAAUUAUUGGGGCGUAAAGCGCGCGCAGGCGGUUCUUUAAGUCUGAUGUGAAAGCCCACGGGCUCAACCGUGGGAGGGUCAUUGGAAACUGGAGAACUUGAGUACAGAAGAGGAAAGCGGAAUUCCACGUGUAGCGGUGAAAUGCGUAGAGAUGUGGAGGAACACCAGUGGCGAAGGCGGCUUUCUGGUCUGUAACUGACGCUGAGGCGCGAAAGCGUGGGGAGCAAACAGGAUUAGAUACCCUGGUAGUCCACGCCGUAAACGAUGAGUGCUAAGUGUUAGGGGGUUUCCGCCCCUCAGUGCUGCAGCUAACGCAUUAAGCACUCCGCCUGGGGAGUACGGCCGCAAAGGCUGA